rnacentral:rRNA from 1 species
AUUGAACGCUGGCGGCAGGCUUAACACAUGCAAGUCGAGCGGGGUGAUGGUGCUUGCACUAUCACUUAGCGGCGGACGGGUGAGUAAUGCUUAGGAAUCUGCCUAUUAGUGGGGGACAACAUCUCGAAAGGGAUGCUAAUACCGCAUACGUCCUACGGGAGAAAGCAGGGGAUCACUUGUGACCUUGCGCUAAUAGAUGAGCCUAAGUCGGAUUAGCUAGUUGGUGGGGUAAAGGCCUACCAAGGCGACGAUCUGUAGCGGGUCUGAGAGGAUGAUCCGCCACACUGGGACUGAGACACGGCCCUGACUCCUACGGGAGGCAGCAGUGGGGAAUAUUGGACAAUGGGGGAACCCUGAUCCAGCCAUGCCGCGUGUGUGAAGAAGGCCUUAUGGUUGUAAAGCACUUUAAGCGAGGAGGAGGCUCUUUUGGUUAAUACCCAAGAUGAGUGGACGUUACUCGCAGAAUAAGCACCGGCUAACUCUGUGCCAGCCGCCGCGGUAA